rnacentral:rRNA from 1 species
UACGGGGGGAGCAAGCGUUGUUCGGAUUUACUGGGCGUAAAGGGCGCGUAGGCGGUCAGCACGAGUCAGUUGUGAAAUCUCCGGGCUUAACCCGGAAAGGUCAACUGAUACUGUGCGACUAGAGUGCGGAAGGGGCAACUGGAAUUCCCGGUGUAGAGGUGAAAUUCGUAGAUAUCGGGAGGAACACCAGUGGCGAAGGCGGCUCUCUGGGCAGAUACUGACGCUGAGACGCGAAAGCAUGGGGAGCAAACAGG